UGGCCAGACUCCUACGGGAGGCAGCAGUGAGGAAUAUUGGUCAAUGGGCGGGAGCCUGACCCAGCAACGCCGCGUGAAGGAAGAAGGCUUUCGGGUUGUAAACUUCUUUUCUCAGGGACGAAGAAAGUGACGGUACCUGAGGAAUAAGCCCCGGCUAACUACGUGCCAGCAGCCGCGGUAAUACGUAGGGGGCAAGCGUUAUCCGGAUUUACUGGGUGUAAAGGGAGCGUAGACGGCAUGGCAAGUCAGAUGUGAAAGCCCGGGGCUCAACCCCGGGACUGCAUUUGAAACUGUCAGGCUGGAGUGCAGGAGAGGUAAGUGGAAUUCCUAGUGUAGCAGUGAAAUGCGUAGAUAUUAGGAGGAACACCAGUGGCGAAGGCGGCUUACUGGACUGUAACUGACGUUGAGGCUCGAAAGCGUGGGGAGCAAACAGGAUUAGAUACCCGAGUAA
rnacentral:rRNA from 1 species